rnacentral:lncRNA from 1 species
UCUUCAACAGAAGAUAUGAAUCAAGCAAUCUCAGGGCCUAGAUGGGGAGAAAAGGGCCCUGAAACAGGGAGAGAUGAAUGUAGCCACCAGCUCUCUGUUUUUUUCUUUAGAGGGGCAGGGAGUCAUUCAACCUAAGAAUUUUUCCUUGCUGUCUUGCAUAUCCCAACAGGCCUCCCUUCAUUCUUAUAGUGUGACUGACCUAAAUUGAAAAUAUGAAGAGGACCCAUGGGCUAGAAGAUUAUGGGCAAGUACUGCAAGAACUGGCAACAGUCUCAUAUUAUGGUCCUGAAACAUUGCCAAACAUUGUCAAUCAUUCUUGAAGGUUUAACAUUAAAUGAUAUUAAGAAAAGGACACUGGGCAAUAACUUUAGCACCAGCUGGGAGAAUUGGUGAUGAUUAUAGUCGGAAAGAAUCCCAAAUAUGUGAUGCUGGAUUUUUGAAGAGAGUCAUAAUUGGCAGGAACAAGAGGAAGAGAUGCAGAAACAUUGAAAGCAAAUGAUCCUGUGCCUGUGACUGAACCCUCCUUGAUUCCUGUCGGGGAAGUCUUUUCCCAGUAUCAGUCAUCACUUUGCUGG